rnacentral:rRNA from 1 species
UACGGGGGGGGCAAGCGUUGUUCGGAAUUACCGGGCGUAAAGGGCUCGUAGGCGGCCAACUAAGUCAGACGUGAAAUCCCUCGGCUUAACCGGGGAACUGCGUCUGAUACUGGAUGGCUUGAGUUUGGGAGAGGGAUGCGGAAUUCCAGGUGUAGCGGUGAAAUGCGUAGAGAUCGUAAGGAAGACCAGUGGACGAAGGCGAGUUUCUGGACAGUUACUGACGCUGAGGCACGAAGGCCAGGGGAGCAAACGGGGAU